GCCCGCCUAGGAGCUGUUCUCCUUAAUAAGCAAGAUUUAUAACCACUGGGAAGACGGGAAGAAGGGGACCGAAGGGAGAGCGGGGGAAGCAAGACGACCCCUCUUCCCCCCCCGCCCCCUCCAGACUGGAGAUACAAAAAAAAAAAAGAGACACCCCCCCUCCCUCCAGAUCCUUCUCCCCCCUCCCCAUCCUUCCCAUUGCUGAAAGCAUCUUUGCACCAAGAUGCGGGACUUAUUGCAAAGGCCGAGCGGAGGCCGAGCGGAGUGAGGUUUGCAGGGGGAAGGAAUCAGAGCAGCUCCCGUUGUUUCCUAGGGUGAGGCGAGAGAGCGUGUGUGUGUGAAGCGUGUGUGUGUGUGUGUGUGUGUGUGUGAGCGCGAGCGCGAGGCGGGGAGACACAGACACUGCAUUGCUGCUGAGCCACGAGCCUCCAAUAUGCUGCCGCCGCUUCUGCCGGGGCUGGGGCGCGCGAGUCAGCAUCAGCAGCGGGCAGCCCCCGGUGGAGGUCACAGGCGUGGGGCUGAGACCCUGGGUGUCUUCUGAUUUGAGAAGGAUUCUUUAAAAAAAAAAAAUUGUUGGCAGUUAGUCUCCCCCCCAUCCCCCCCCCACACACUUUCUUCUCCCCCUCCCCCUUUAUUUCCCUUUCCUGGGCUCUGCCUUGGAUGAUUUUUAGGUGGAGUCGUUUGCACCAAAACCCUUCAGCUGCUGCUGCUCUUGCUGCUAUUUCCCCCCACGCCCUCUCCCCCCCCCCCUUUUUUUUGGUGUGAUACUGUUUCCACAGCAGGAGAAGAAGGGACUGAUCCUGAGGAUCCUCCUAGAGGAUGAAUAACCCCAAGAAAUUGACUGAAGCAGCACGCUGGACCUGGUGCACCAUUCAGAUUUGAUUAAAUAAUAAUUCAGGUUUUUUUGCCAUUUUCUUUUUUCACCUUCUGGGGGCUUUGCAAACCGAAUUACAUGCAUGUCCAGUGGGGGAAGGUUUAAUUUUGACGAUGGAGGCUCCUACUGUGGAGGCUGGGAGGACGGAAAGGCUCACGGCCACGGAAUCUGUACCGGCCCGAAGGGUCAAGGCGAGUAUACCGGCUCCUGGAGUCACGGCUUUGAGGUGCUGGGGGUCUACACCUGGCCCAGUGGCAACACUUACCAGGGCACCUGGGCACAGGGCAAGCGCCAUGGCAUCGGUGUGGAGAGCAAGGGGAAGUGGGUGUACAAAGGAGAGUGGACUCAUGGAUUUAAGGGACGGUACGGGGUCCGUGAAUGCACUGGCAAUGGGGCCAAAUAUGAAGGCACCUGGAGCAAUGGAUUACAGGACGGCUACGGGACAGAGACCUACUCGGAUGGAGGGACGUACCAGGGCCAGUGGGCUGGUGGCAUGCGCCAAGGCUAUGGCGUCCGGCAGAGCGUCCCCUAUGGCAUGGCUGCUGUUAUCAGGUCGCCCCUGAGGACAUCCAUUAACUCGCUGCGCAGUGAGCACACCAAUGGCACGGCGCUGCACCCUGACUCCUCGCCCGCCGUGGCCGGCAGCCCCGCUGUCUCCAGGGGCGGCUUCGUCCUCAUGGCCCACAGCGAUGCCGAGAUCCUCAAAAGCAAGAAGAAGGGGCUCUUCCGGCGGUCCCUGCUGAGCGGGCUCAAGCUGCGCAAGUCUGAGUCCAAGAGCUCCCUCGCCAGCCAGCGCAGCAAGCAGAGCUCCUUCCGGAGCGAGGCGGGCAUGAGCACCGUCAGCUCCACCGCCAGCGACAUCAACUCCACCAUCAGCUUGGGUGAGGGGGAGGCCGAGCUGUCCGUCAUCGAGGAUGACAUCGACGCCACGACCACCGAGAUCUACGUGGGUGAGUGGAAGAACGACAAGCGCUCAGGCUUCGGGGUCAGCCAGCGCUCGGAUGGCCUGAAGUACGAGGGAGAGUGGGCCAACAACAAGCGCCACGGCUACGGCUGCAUGACCUUCCCGGACGGCACCAAGGAGGAGGGGAAGUACAAACAGAACGUCCUGGUGAGCGGCAAGCGGAAGAACCUCAUCCCGCUGAGGGCCAGCAAGAUCCGCGAGAAGGUGGAUCGGGCCACUGAGGCGGCAGAGAGGGCAGCCACCAUCGCCAAGCAGAAAGCGGAGAUUGCGGCUUCCAGGACUUCCCACUCCAGGGCUAAAGCAGACGCAGCUGUGACAGCAGCGCAGAAAGCUCAGGAGGAAGCUCGGAUUGCCAGGAUCACUGCCAAAGAGUUUUCGCCUUCCUUCCAACACAGGGAAAACGGGCUCGAGUGCCAGAGGCCAAAGCGUCAGAACUCAAGCGACGACAUCGAGGUCCUCUCCACAGGGACCCCGCUCCAGCAAGAAAGCCCAGAGCUGUACAGGAAAGGCACCACCCCUUCUGACCUCACUCCCGACGACAGCCCCCUGCAAAGCUUCCCCGCCAGCCCCUCCUCCACUCCGCCGUUGGGCCCCACCUGCAGGACCAAGAGCGCCCAUUUCUCCAGGCAGGUGUCGGUGGACGAAGAGAGGGGUGGGGAGAUCCAGAUGUUGCUGGAGGGACGAGGCGGAGACUACUUGAGACCCAACAGCUGGAGCGAAGACCAAGCAGGCGGGACGCGUGGCGUUAGAAGCGGGACCCUGCGCAGCAGUCAUUUGGGGUCUGCCUCCAUCCCUGAAGAUUACGGAGGCCGGAGUGGAGGGCACAAACAUAAGGCCUCCAACCACAAGCAAAGAGAGAGGUGGACAGAUUCCCCAGCUGCAGUUUCUUGGACUUCCCACCACAGGUCCCACAACCAAAGCUCAGGGAGUGCCAAGCUGCUUGAGCUGGAUGAGGAGAAACUGAGCAAUUACGAGAUGGAAAUGAAACCCCUCAUGAGGAUGGAUUCUUACAUGCAAGAGUUUCACACCCAAAAAAGACACUAUAGUAAAGCAGGCGCCUGCAGGAGCCUGGCUGAGGACCACCGUGGGGAAGACCGGGGCUUUCGGGUUCAGAGACUGAGGUCUAAGUCCCAGAACAAAGAGAAUUUCAGGCCAGCUUCCUCUGCUGAGCCCACAGUGCAGAAACUGGAAAAUCUGAGGUUCGGGGACAAAGCGGAACCCCGGCUAUUAAGGUGGGACUUAACCUUCUCCCCGCCACAGAAAUCCUUACCUGUUGCACUAGAAUCCGAGGAGGAAAAUGGGGAUGAGCUCAAGUCCAGUACGCCUGCCCCAGUACUUGGAUUCUUCCGAACCAUGUUGGUCGAGGCAAGCAGCAGUCCCACUCAGAGGCUUAGCAUUCAAAGAGGGAGCAGCAGCCUAGCGUGCCAAGCACAGAAGACUGAUGUCCCAGCGCUGGCCCACCUCUAGGGUGUGUUGCACGCUGCACGGGAGCUCACACUUAUUAGACAACCGACUCUCUGAAGAGACCACCCCAAAGUGCCCCAAAGCGUAGGCUCGGCUCCCAUUCUGGUAGUCAUGGUGAUCUUACUGAACAUUGGCGUCGCCAUUUUGUUUAUUAACUUUUUCAUCUAAUUGAGACUGUCUUGUUUGAAAAAAUAAGAGUUACGUGUACGAACGGGGGAAAAAAACCAAACAAAAACAAAUCAAAAAAAGGGAAAGAUCAUGACUUGAACCAUCCUGUGACAACUUCCAAGUCUUUUCACAGAAGAACAACAAAUGAUUGAGUCUCACUCACAGUUUGCCUUUUUUUCCUGGGUAAUGUUUUUUGGAUUUUAGCCAAAAUUCUUUGCUUGUACAACACUAUGCUGUGUGGCAUGGCAGAAUGCUAACAACUCUAUGACCCUCCCAGCACCAGAAAGGAUGAGACAGGAUCCCAGCAAAAUAAGAGUCAGUUAUUUUUUCCCCUCCAAAGUAAAUAAAGAACAAAACUGGCAAAAUGGAGGUAAGAGGGUGGGCAGAUGGAACAGGGACGCAAAGGGGGUUGAAUGAGUCUCUGGUGUAAACACUCAACCCCAUUGUUGUGAAGUUGAUGGGGGGGGGGAAUCCCCUUUCACCCAUCCUCUUCUAACCCCCCUGCCACAAAAAAAAAAACCCUCACAUUUUUCUUCCCUUCUCUGCUACCAGAAAAAAAAAAAAAAAAAGCAGGAAUGAGGAGGAGAAAAAGAGGUGCUUGGGGAAGGGGAAGAGACCCCCCCUGAGUACAGAGGAUGAAAGGAAAGUGGCCCAUUUUUGUUACAGUUUAAAAAAAUUCUGAAGCAAUCAGCAUUUUGCUCAGUUCUGGUGUGGUGGUGGUGGGAAUUACAAGGUGUAAAUAUCAUACCUGCUGGCACCCUCCUGUCCUCACUCGGCCAGAGCAAAACCGCCCAAAGCCACCCUCUUUCCGUUCAAAGCUGAUUUCUCCUAGCUACAAAUCUGCCCUCCCUCCACCCCUCCUCACCCCAUAAAUUGCCUGGUAGCUUAUUACAGCCCAAAUUCCGCCCCCCAAACACCCCCACACACCCCCAGGAGUGGUGAUACUAAAACAAUCACCAGCUAUCCCAUCCUGAACUGCAACACCCCUACACAAACACACCAGCGCUUACAGAGAAUGCAAGGAAGCUGUCCGGUGGGAGAUUUGAUUCUGAUCUAGCAAAGGACAUCUGGGGAGGAGCACUGGAACAGCUGCAGGAGCGGAGGAGAGCAGCUGGGUAUGCUUGUUACAUCUUGCCAUGGACCGCUUCAGACAUCAUGCUUGGGCUCUGAGCAUGUCGUAUUUUUGCACUUUGUAUGCAGGAUAUAUAUUCCAGCUUCCGACAUGUCCCUGUAAAAAAAUGUCAUUGGCAACAGCAGCCUCUAAGGAUGUAUUCUUUUCUAUACGUCACUUAAUUUUGUUUGUUUUAACAUCUUCGUAAUGGAAGUGGCCUACUGAGGUGCCUUCCUGUCCUACCCUUCUAUGAGUCUAUGCCUGCCUUGAUUUUUUCCCCACCCUUUCCUCCCCGAUAAUACACAUUCAUUAAAGAUGCAGUACCCCAGUCCUGAGCUGUUAUGGUCGCAAUGACAAGAGCAUGGUUUUAGCUCAGUUGCUUGGAAAUUCCUGAAGUCCUGUUACAUUCCAAAAACAAUUUAACUGUUUUCCCUGCCCACCUCCAUCCCCAAGACCACAUGCAGUCUGUCCUUGCCGGAUAAGUCAGCUGUGCACUUCAAAAAAGUUAACUGCCUCUCUCUGAUACAGUACAUAUUGGAACCUAUCUGACCCACAAUUACACCCACUGCAAAUCCAUUGGAUAAAGGGGGGAAGGGGGUCUUGAGGGUCAGAUAUGGCCCGUAUACAAUCCUCUAGAUUUUAUCUGUGACCAAAUCCGUCUCAUCAUUUUACAUACAGAGUGUUGGGCACAACCCUGACUUGUGGACUUGGCUUUGCUUUGCUUACAUUUUAUCUGUUUCUCUGCUACCUUUUUAGCAGAUUUCUUUAUUACACUGCACUGGAUUGCUAUAUUUUUAACCAGAAAUAAACUAAAGAUUAGUGCAUGUGCCAGUUAAAUUCAGUUCUUUUCCUUAAACUGCCACGCUCAUUCUCUCUUACCAUUUUCUUUCCUUUUUUUGUUUGUUUUCCUUUCUGGGUUGAGGGUGUGGGAUGGAAGGAAUGAAAGGCAGAUAAUGCAAGCCUAGUAACCUUUCUGAUAAUUUUGUUUCCAGGGGAACAGUCCAUCUUUUUGGUCCAUCUUCAUUUUUUUCCCCAUUCAUCUUUUUUAAUAUUGAACGGUUGCUGCAGACCUUAAGUGAACCAAAUAACGACAUAAUGUAAUUGCAGCCCUAGGAAAUCAUACAUGCUGCGAUAUGUGUUUUGUAAUUCUGUUUGCAACUCUUUGUAAAGAUUCUAGAGAACUUUUUUUGUACAUUCCAGUAAGUGCAUGACACACAGAUACCUACAGAAGUAGGUUACAUAUUUAAAUGCAAACACAGUACAAUAUUUAGAUAUGUAUAAAACAGCACAAAAAUGCAUAUCAUUAUCAAAUAAAAGUACUAGUGGUUUCAUGACUAGGUUUCUCACACUGGUGACUGACUAGUUAUUACUGCUUUUCUUGCAGACUUCCAAGGAAUCGAUAUACGGCUACCCCAAAUUCAACCUAACUCCAUUUGUCUUUCAUCUCUUGGUUUCUCCCUUUGAAGCACCCGGCCUCGGCCACUGUCAGAAGACAGGAUGCUGAGUUAGAUGGACCAUUGGUCUUACCCACUAUGGCUGUUCUUAUGUUCUAGUUUCCAUGGGACUAAGAUUCAGUGGGUCUGAAAGACAUCUGAAGAGUAAUAUUAAUUGGUUCCCAAACAAUGUGAUUAAAAAUAAUGAUCCCUUGAUUAAUCAAAGUGAGUUGAGCAAUUUGUCUUAGCUCUGUGCUUUCACAUCCACCCAGAGCCAAAAAUAUUAUUGACAAGUAGCCCAUUGUACUCAUUGUACCUCAUAAGUACUGUGUUCACGGCCCUCUCUCUCUCUCUUCGGCAUGUCUAAGACAUGCAGCACCAUAGUAUCUAGACACCACAUCCACAUAUACUCUCUCUCCACGCUGUUUUACAUGUAUACUCAAAUGUGUAGCUAGACAGAUGCAUGCAAGCAGCUGUGCGAUUCUGAAGACAAUUGACUUUGCUUUUCAGUCUUAGGGAUCUUCUCAUUUUCCUAAGGAGAAAGUUGCAGCUAUUUAUAACCAAUCCAACCUCAUGUCCUGAGGGCUGGUUCCAUGUGUGUUGUACUGGUGACCCCCUUUCACACAGCAAGCCUCUGGUGCGACAGCCCCCACCCACCCUUAUAAAUUAAAACCCUUUUUUUAUAUUUAACAGUAUAAAUGCUGGAGGUGAAGCAGGGUUUGGGGUGGAGGCUGACAGCUCAUGACCCCCCAUGUAAUAACCUCAUGAUCCCCUCAGUGGUCACAACCCCCAGUUUGAGAACCCCUGUGUUAGAGGAUAAUUGGUUACUUCCUGUAUCUGUCAAGUGUUUUAACACCACGGGCAAUUUUUAAAUCACGAUUGGAUGUUUUGUUAAAAGCUCUGGGGGACGUUCAUCUGGUCUGACCUCCUGCAUAACCCAGACGAGAGAUCGCAAUGGUCCCUUCCGGCCUGCAAGUCUCUGAACAGGAUCUUCUUUGUCAAUGUCAAAUAUACACAUGCACACGCUCACUCUUUUCCGGGUCCUACCCUCGAUCUGUAUGGAAUGGACUUCUGCUGUGCAGAUAGUAUGGAAUGCAGGACUACGCUACACUUUCUCGAGGACAAGCUGACAUUGAGUUAAGGAGCUCCAUAGCACUGAAGUCAGAAGGUUUGGCCUUCCAAGGAAGCGGACAUUGCAGUGUUAUCCUUUAGCUCUGGUUUCUUGCCUUGUGUUGUUGUCGAGGGGAUGCUGUCUGGAGACACUUGAAAUCAAACACAAGGAGUAGAUUACUUGGCAUAAGGACAGAGAUGCUGAGACGCGCAGCUAAUGCUGGUUUACUGCAAGAAAGGUACCAUCCCUAAGCGCAGCCGCAAAAGCAGAUGCGUGAAAUCCCUGCGCCACAGCCAUGUGACAUGCAAUGAAGGCACAUAUCAGAGUUGGAGCGGGACUGGAAUGCACAGCGUGGCCCAAAAAGAGCAGACACAAGGAUAAGUCAGGGGGCCAGAAAGCAGCAUUUGGUUUGCAGCCAAUAAACACUCGUGAAAAGGAAGUGCUAACAGCACAGGUGGAAGAAGAGAUCUCAUUCAGAUCUGAGGAAGGAAGCACAGGUGAGUCAGCAAGGUAUCCAGACAAGCUGAGGAGAUAAACUUUACGUGGUGCUUGAGACAUUCAGAAAGAGCACUGAGCAUCAUGGAGGUACAUGUGGGACCGCGGGGGCAAGCCUUGCUGUCAAUGACCUAAGUUACAGGGAAGCUAAGCGCGCUCCAGCAGUGCAGCCUCGGUGGCAGGAGGCGCAUGCCUGAUCACGCACUGAGCGCUCGCUCCAGCACCCGUGACCCCAGGAUGCCACUUGCCAAGGCAUUAUUGGGGGCUGAUUGUCAGCAUGGAGUCAAAUGGUGCCGCAUGAAAAAUCAGGCCCUUCCUUAGCAUGCAGGGUUUGUAGGAAGGUGAUGACGGAGAGAGAUCAGGAAGGAAGGAAGGACUGCGAGGAGAAAUGAUCCGCAGGACUUCGCCAUGAUGUGUAAUCUGACACCUACAAUGUGGCAGAAGCUGUUGGGGACCCAUCACUCUGAGAGGUUCUGGUCUGGGUGGUUUACAUUGCCAUGAAGAUUGUCGAUCUGUCUGUCUCUCACACACACACACGCCUCUGACUGCGAGGAUGAUGCUGUGUGCCUCACUCACUUACACAUCUUCCAUACAUCCAAGAGAGAGCGUGGGUGUAUAAGCUCCAUCAAUACAUUUCUAUACAGUGCAUCCACAAUACAGAUGCAUCUACCUGAUUACUUUUAUCUCCCAAUUUGGAUGAAACACAGAGCCAAGGUCCCGAUCACUUGUCAUUAAAAAUCCUUUGGCCCCAUUUUCAGGUGUGUAAGCACCAGUGGCUUAUCAAAGCACUGAUCCCCCUAGAUUGACUUGUUUUAACCGGAUCUGGUUUUCUUCUUAGCAGCCAUUAUGCAGCAGGAUAGAGACAGGAAGCGGUGUCUUGCCCCAGAAGUGGCUGCAUGUUGGUGCCAGGUAAAGUGAUCCUGCUGAGACUAUAGGGAAAAGCAGUUUGAGGCUUUGGAAAGGCACCAGCGAAUCAGAAUUGAUGGCACCAGUAAUUCCACUGUUGCACGCCAGCCUCCCCGCCUCUCCGCAUCCUGACAGCAUCUCAGAAUGCAAUUCUCUUGGUUAGCUGUAACGCUGAGGCAUUCUGCUCUAGAGAUGGGGGUCAGGACAGCCACUGGGCCCAUCUCCACCUAACAGGUUGAUAAUAAGCAGAGCUUCUUGACAUGAACUAAAAUAGUUGAUGAGCUUCUGCAGCCCGAGGCCUGCAUUUGUGAAAACCUUUGUGUUCUUGUCCUUCCCUUCUUGCUGAGAGGCCUGGCAGCUCAAGGUUUUCUCCAUUUGACACAUACCAGCAGGGCCCAUCAAUGGUACUCAGUGCGGGCAGGACGGAGGUCACUUCUCAAAAGCCUGCACGUGGAAAAUAUGUCCAGAUUCAGCCCAGAUGAGGUGGGUGAGAACCAGAGCAAUCCAGCCCCUGGCGCCAGGAAAUGCCAACAAUGUCCCUCUGCAGGAAACACCACACAGAGGGAAGGAAACACCUGUUGAAUUGAGCUAGUUGGGAAUUCUCCACUGAGACUUUGUUUUGUCCAUAAGAAAAUGCCGAUUUGUCAAAACUGAAACUGUUUGCCAGAAAAGUCUUCCAACUGGAAGAAAUUUUGGUUUCAGAGUGGUCAAAAUGGUGUAUUUUGACAUUUUCAAAGUGAAAACUUUUGAAAUGACUGAAGCAAAACAUGUCAACUGACCUUAUCCAAACUUUUGUUCAGACUAGGGCUUUGUGAAAAUUUUCUAGAUUAAUUUUUUUUCAUGAUCCUGGAACGAAAAAAAAAAACUCUCACUCUCUCUAAAUUUGGGUGGGACAGGAAAACCAGGUCCUGCCCAGCUAGUGCUAUGAGAUACACGUCUCUUCUGCUGUCAUCGUGCAUGGCACGGCCAAGCAGCAGGGAGAGUACAUGGGUGGCGAGCUGGGACACACACAGCUGGAGACAUGCAGACCUCUUGCUGCUCAUCCAUGAACAGAAAUCAAAUACUUCUGUCAUCCCUGCUGGACUUAAUGGCUUGAUUAGUUUAACUGCCACUCCCUCACACUGAUAUCUGCCCUGCUGCUGACACCUCUACUAUCUGACCUCUGGAACCUAAAGCCACUUGGGGAAACCAGGUAUCUAAAAUGGACCCUGUUUUAUGAGGAAGGGCUUUAGAUGGUCAUCCGAUCAAACUUUCACCACACUUAAUUUCUCCAGUGCCAAGAGCGCCUGAUGACAAGGCAGAUACAGGCAGUGCCUUUGCUAGUUUAAAAUGAGGAGUGGAUAGCACCUGCGAGUACUGGGAUGUGAGGUGUUUAGUGCUAGGUCACUAGUUCAAAUCCAGGUCAGGCCAUUUGUGACUGAAAGCGGUUAUCUGAUGGCAGCUGGAGGGCCUAUGCAACACAGAUUGGUGGAUCUCAGUCCAGUUCCAACCGGGCCCAGUAAACCACCACUACUGGCAGCUGCACCAGAGAGACCAAGGACCCGGCAUGCCUGUAGUGUGUUUCACUCAGGGGUCAGCAGGAUUAGUGGGCAAGCUGUGGCUCGAUAGUUCUUCUGCCCCCACAAAGUCCUGGGCAGGGCUGUAGGGGGACCCAGAUCCUCCCUCUCCAACAGGUCCCAGCCCAGGGCCCAAGGCAGAGAGAGAGUUUCUUGGUCACCUCUUUGUGGUGCACCUGGCAGGCCUCCUGUGGGCUGCUUCCCACCUCCCUGCUCUCUUUGGCUUGGAGGUGUGGUGGCAGCCCCCUCACCCCUAGCACAGAGAUCCCAAUCAGUCCCAGCAGCUCUCGCUUUAACUGGAUGCUCGGAAGACCGCUGUUUUCCCUCAGCAGGGAAUGGGGAACCCUCCUGGUUGGGGUCUGACCCAAAGUCCAGACACUUCUCCUCUGGAUUGCCUUGCCUCCAGAGGCUGCGAAUUGGCUUCCUCUCUUUGGACAGCCUCUCCUUCACUCACCUCGGGCCUGACUGUUAAGUCCAUCUUGGAGCAGGUCCUCCAUUUGACACAUGCUCUGCAGCUGCUGAGGGGUGGGGCCCUUCUGCCCAGUACAGCUCCUUCCCUUCCUUAGGCUCUGUGCGGGGUCUGUAAACACCAUCAUCACAGUGCCAUAAAGAUCAAAUGAGGUCUUCAUAGUUAGAGGAGGUCCCCUGAGGAAGGGCUGAGGCAUGUUGGUUGGGCGGCACGCGUGUGAGAGAGCCACAUGUUACCCAUACUUGUCCUGGGGGUAAACUUCAGCCUCCAGGUUUCUCAAGCUGGCACCUGACCUUUCCCAAGAACACCCGCGAGAAUCAGAAAUGACUGGGCAGUUUUUCAAAGCUGCAGAAGGGACCCAGUCACAGAACAACAUAGCUUUCUGCCAGUACACACGGAGCUGGUUCGUUUCUGGAUUAGCCAGUGCACUUCAUUAUCCCAGCUGGUAUCCAAUAAGCUCUUAUGUCAAGUCUUGUUCAUUUCUACCGAUUAACCACCCACCCACAAAGAGAUUCGCAUCUCAAUUAAUAAGGAUGAACAAUCUCUUAUGUUGUUGUGGGCUACAACCCAUGUGAACCUUCAACUAGACAUGAAACCACUAAUCUUUACAUUGUUGCCUUUUGUCUGAAUCCUGAAGUAAAUGUGAGUUUUCAGUCAGCAUCUUCAUUUAUUCUCCAUUUUCCCCCGCCUGGUGCAUGCCAACUGUUUUCUGGUUACAGUGCAAUUAUUGUGUGUGUGGACUAAAAAGGAAAGGGAAUGCUGAAUAUAUUCUUAUCUUUCUCAUACAUGCAGUGGCGAAAAAGAAUUGCCUUGGCCUUUUCUCUUUAUUUUAUUUUGGAGAGGGGGGUGAAAGCAGCUUUAUUAUUUACAAAAAAUAAAAAUAAAAAAAUUCUUUCCUGAAUGUAAAUGUUUAAAUUCUAGCCUUUUUGCAAAAUGAGCAACAUAAUACAUUUAAAGGGACACUGCCAAGAUAAAAAUCACAUAAAACAUAUACACACUAAAAAAGGCACAACCCUUCUAUAUGUUGCUCAUUAUCUGUGCAGCUGAGGUUGGGAUUCCAACUUGGCAGGAGACUGUUUAUAUUUUUUUUAAAAGCUUUCAUUUAAAUAAUAAAAACACAUUAAAGCUUUUCAGUCCAUUUCAGGGUCCUGAUCCCACAGUUAGGCCCAUAUGGACAGAUCCUUGCUCCAAUAGCUGUGGUUGAAGCAGACCUUUUCAUGGGAUUCCAUGUGGUUUAAGGCUCUAGCCAUGGGGUACCAAUAGCAGGAUUAAGGCCCAGUUUUGCAAAAGCUGCUUGUUUUUUUUUAAAAAAAAAAAAAACAACCCAAAGCCUAAAUUUUGGGGCCUAAACUACUUGUUAGCACCCUUUUAACACCAGCAGCAGCAAGGUAUUCUCAUGGUCCAGGGGCUCCCCACAAGUAUUCCAAAUGCGUCAACACGGUUAGAUUUUCCUUCCGGCUGGCUGGCACACACGUGCACACACACACACAGAGGUUCUAAUUUGAGCUUCAUUGUGGGUUUUGUUUUAAGUGAAUCUCAGCAAACUCUCCUUUACAGAAUAUUUCUCUCCCAGGACAGAAUUGCUCAAUAUAUUUAUUCCCAUAAGAAAAAACGUAAAGGCAUAAAGAGGGAGCCAUUCCCAUCUCACACCCCCACCCCCUCCAUUCCAGUGAAAAGCUAGCUUGGCACAAACACACACAACUACAUUUCAGAUUCAUCCUUUGAAGAAGAAUAAAGGGGAAAAAGGAAAAAUUCAAACCACUGUCGCACACUCUGCUGCAUAAGGCUCUCUCAGCAGUCUUACCCAGGCAGUAUGAGAAAGAGAGAAAGAACCCUCCCUUAUACAGCUGCUAAUGGGCUUCCCUUUUUUAUCUGAUUUUUUUGCUCAUCAGCUAAGGAACCAAAGGCUACAGAAAGAUGCAAAAAUAAUAAAAUAAACUUGGAGAAAAAAAAAAAAAAAGCAUGCUAUCCAAUCUGUUUCGAAAUCCGGAAGGGAACACUGAAAUGGAGCCCUGCUUCCAGACCCUGCCAUUUUUUAAUUGCUACUUUCUGACAAUAAAAUCAGCAACAUUGCAAAACUGCAGGUUCUAUGAAUCUUUAUGCACGACCACGGAUGGGACACAAAACGGACCAAAUGGUAGUGAGAUGAAGCCUUGUGAACUAAUAACCCCACUGACAAGACAACACACCGCCUGAUACUUUUAAUGGAGCGAGUGCUUGUAGAUUCCUUCCCUGGGUAUCCACGAACAUUGUGUUUUCACCUCUCCCCUGCAAUUUUGCAUGCAAGGUGCUUCCUUAUCAGCUAUGUUUUUAUCUUAACAAUUAAAUACUAUGGGCAGCUUG